AAUAGUCCUCUGUGUUAUAGAGAUGAGUCAGAGGGAAUAUUGUUCAAAUGGUCUUGAGAUUUUUUUCUCACUCAUUCAUACAAAUGUCUACAGAAAGACACCCCUGCUCUUACACCCAUGCUCCCUCUUCUCUUUGUGUUUCACUUAAGCUCUCAUUUCUCCCCUCCUUUCUUUACAUGCUCUGCGUAAUCUGUUCUCUCAGGCCUGGAGAAGACGCAAAGGACCUAGGUGCCAGCCAGUUUGUAUAGGCCUCUCAGUGGGUGGCAUAGUCGGUUUUGCUGCUCCUCCCCCUGCCCUGUACUUCAUUGAUUUGCCAUUACACUAUUUUCAAGACAAGAUGUAGCAAUUUCAUUUAAGGACCAGAACUGCCCAACAACUGGAAUUUUGGGGACGAAACAAAAUCAGGAAGCUGAAGAUAGUUUGAGGCUGUAAUUGCAUCGCUGGAAAUAGCCGCUGCGUGAACUGACUCAUCUUCAAGGGUUGGAAAAUAUUACAGUGAAUCAUUGGUAAAUAACCUACAGAAUAAUAUGGAAUCUAUUUCCAAUCAUCAAUGCAGACUCCAGCGAGCUGAAUCACUGUCUGCCGCCUCCGUGAGCAGCUGUCCGCAGUAAUGGAAACUUAUCAGUGACUGUUUGGAGAUGAUUUUCUCAGGCACCAACUUCAUUGACAGUCACUCAAGCGUCAAAAAAACAUGUGACACAUACAGAAAACAACGCUCACAGCCCAUACUGACGGUAGCGUGACGUCAACUACUGGAGUCUAGGGAGAACAAUGUGGGAAUCUGUGGGAAACAGUGAUGGCGGAACGUGCUCUUUUCAUCCGGUCUGACUGUACAAAUGGACCUCAUUGUCUACGGAGAAAUUCGAUUUUCUGCCAUGCGCCAGCUCUACAUAAACUCCUCUCUGGGGUCUGAUGCCACCAUGCUCAGGCUUAUCAACAGCACUCAGUGUGUGAGAUUGAGUUCUGGCGCAUAUUAAACCAUGGGGAGACCAGGGACGAGAAUCAGAAAUACAGCAUAAUCCCUCUAGAGAUCCUCCUCUCGCUCACCACCCAUCUGCCUUCAUCUGGUACCGACUCGAUCCUUGGUCAGAAAAAAAAACUCCUAAAAACUCAUCCCGAUGAGCGCGCUCUUUUGAGUGUGUAAUUUGCUCCUUUAUCUUCUGUUCAGAGCCGGUCCCUAAAAUGAAGUCAUUAUCAUCGUUCCUAACAAAGCUCAAGCAUGGUAGGAGAAGCCGUCCUUCGUGGAUCCCUAAAGAGGCUGGAUAAAGGAGCUUCGCUAUCGGCUCUUCGGAGUGAGAUGGCUAAAACCGCACAUAAGCUCAAUCCACCUCCCUGCUGCGCUCCUGCUAAGCCGUUGCUAGGCAUGUUGGAGAAAAAGUGCUACCUUCACAUGCAUAGUGCUUUUAUUAUUAAAGAGAAGAUUGUAUUUGAAAUGGCACGUAAACACCGCUAUUACUCUUAAUGUUUUUGCAGUGCAUAAUCAGGGCUGUUGCUGAAUUACUAUUUUUAGGGUUCCCCACAUAAAAAAUAGAAUUUCAUCCAUUAAGUACUGUAUAUAACAAAGCAUACUGCCAUUAAUACUGUAUCAAACAUUGCACUGUGCUUGAUCUGAUGUCUGUUUAGUAACAGCAGCCGCGAUCCGUCAACUUUCUCAGCUUAUCAUGUGAUUAGAUUAAGAGGCUUUAGCCUAUAUAUUAUACUGUAGAGCAAAAAUUAGUUCGUACUCUGUAUUUUUUGUCUCAUUUUGCAGUUUUUAA